rnacentral:rRNA from 1 species
UACGUAGGGUGCAAGCGUUGUCCGGAAUUAUUGGGCGUAAAGAGCUCGUAGGCGGUCUGUCACGUCGGCUGUGAAAACCCGAGGCUCAACCUCGGGCCUGCAGUCGAUACGGGCAGACUAGAGUUCGGUAGGGGAGACUGGAAUUCCUGGUGUAGCGGUGAAAUGCGCAGAUAUCAGGAGGAACACCGGUGGCGAAGGCGGGUCUCUGGGCAAUAACUGACGCUGAGGAGCGAAAGCGUGGGGAGCGAACAGG